GACUGUAACUGACGCUGAGGCUCGAAAGCGUGGGGAGCGAACAGGAUUAGAUACCCUGGUAGUCCACGCCGUAAACGAUGGAUACUAGGUGUGGGAGGUAUCAACUCCUUCCGUGCCGCCGCUAACGCAUUAAGUAUCCCGCCUGGGGAGUACGGUCGCAAGAUUAAAACUCAAAGGAAUUGACGGGGGCCCGCACAAGUAGCGGAGCAUGUGGUUUA
rnacentral:rRNA from 1 species